CCUACGGGUGGCUGCAGUGGGGAAUAUUGGACAAUGGGGGCAACCCUGAUCCAGCCAUGCCGCGUGUGUGAAGAAGGCCCUCGGGUUGUAAAGCACUUUCAGUGAGGAAGAACGCCUGGUGGUUAAUACCCAUCAGGAAAGACAUCACUCACAGAAGAAGCACCGGCUAACUCCGUGCCAGCAGCCGCGGUAAUACGGAGGGUGCGAGCGUUAAUCGGAAUUACUGGGCGUAAAGCGCGCGUAGGUGGCUUGAUAAGCCGGUUGUGAAAGCCCCGGGCUCAACCUGGGAACGGCAUCCGGAACUGUCAAGCUAGAGUGCAGGAGAGGAAGGUAGAAUUCCCGGUGUAGCGGUGAAAUGCGUAGAGAUCGGGAGGAAUACCAGUGGCGAAGGCGACCUUCUGGACUGACACUGACACUGAGGUGCGAAAGCGUGGGUAGCAAACAGGAUUAGAUACCCGUGUAGUC
rnacentral:rRNA from 1 species